rnacentral:tRNA from 1 species
GGUGGCGUGUCCGAGAGGCCGAAGGUGCAUCACUCGAAAUGAUGUGUGGGGAAACCCACCGUGGGUUCAAAUCCCACCGCCACCG